rnacentral:lncRNA from 1 species
AAGGACAUGAUCUGUUGGGACCACUUCAAGUUUUCCUUGUUCUCAACAAAAGGGCCUUUGCUGGGUAGAUGCAAAAUAAACCAUCUAUACAACAAAGGGGUACAGGAAACGAUAGUCUCUUUCUUCUUCUGAGUCCUCACAUGGAUGGAGUAGUAAGUAUCAGCGAGAAGAGUAGGAAUAGGAUUAUGAGUCAGGAAGAUAUGAAUAGUAGCCAAGUCUACGAAUUCCUCCAUAUUUG